GGAAAAGGUUCUUUACCUAGUGGGUGAUUGGGCACUGGAACAGGCUCCCCUGGGAAAGUGACCAGAGCACCAGCCUGAGAGUGCUCAAGAAGCAUUUGGACAAUGCUCUCAGGCACAUGGUCAGAUCACCAAAGACCAGGGAUGAAAUCCAGUUCUGCUUUUCAAAGCCACAAUAGUGAACUGUGGACUAAAGGCACAGAGAUGUGACAUGGCUGCUGCCUUUCUGUGAAGCCCCAGGCAUUCAGAAUGAACUUGAUGGAUCAUUGUUUGAAAUUUCACAA